CAAAAUUCCACCCUUUCAAAGGGGCAGGUCCAGAGGUUCAAAUCAGUGGUUCAAACACAGGGAGUGGUUUAGCAGUCAUGCUACUAAAGAGGUUUUUCAUAACCCGACCAGAGGGAAUGUCAAAUCGUCUAAUUGUGUCUACCUGAUCACAUGUGUCAAAUGCGGUGUUCAAUAUGUGGGAGAGACUGGGAAUACCAUUGCCACCCGUAUGACACAACACAAACAUAAUAUUGUCAAACAGAAAAAGACACGCACGCCACUGGUGAAACACUUCAUUUCUCAUGAUUGGAAUUCUGUCUCUGUGUGUGUCAUUGAGUGCAACCCUAGAUGGAGUGCUCCCCAGAGGAGGAGAGCAGAGAGGGUGUGGAUCGCCAGAAUGGACACAAGGCAUCCCAGUGGCCUUAACGAGGACUGAGGGUGCUGCAGGUAGUGAGGUAGUGCAGGACAGUGCAUGGAUGGUCUUGUUUACA
ensembl:lncRNA